rnacentral:rRNA from 1 species
AUGGUUUGCUGCCUUUCCGGAAAUCUGGGGCAGGGGCUGCGAGGCUGUCGUCGAAUAAAAAAAGAGAAAUGUUGGGUUAAGUGCCGCAACGAGGGCACCCCUUAUCCUUUGUUGCCAUCGGUCCGGCCGGGAACUCAAAGGAGACUGCCAGUGAUAAACUGGAGGAAGGUGGGGAUGACGUCAAGUCAUCAUGGGCCUUACCAGUAGGGCUACACACGUGCUACAAUGGCGCAUACAAAGAGAAGCGACCUCGCGAGAGCAAGCGGACCUCAUAAAGUGCGUCGUAGUCCGGAUUGGAGUCUGCAACUCGACUCCAUGAAGUCGGAAUCGCUAGUAAUCGUAGAUCAGAAUGCUACGGUGAAUACGUUCCCGGGUCUUGUUCAC